AACGGCGAGAGCCAAGCGCGUCCUAGGGCUCCAGCUGAAGUAUACGUCUGGGACUCUGUGCGACAGGUUGCCGCUACCCGGCUCUCAUGAGGCUGAGGCUGCAGCGCUGUACGGUGUCCUGUAUCGUGGGGGUACCGCCCCAAGUAGAGCAUGGGGGAUGAGCAAACCGUACAUGUAAUUCCAGCCUGAGACACCGUUUUACCAGCACUGCAUCCCCAGUGGCUUGUAAUGCAUAUGUCAAUCCAGGGAAAGCCUGUAGACUCAGACCAAGCCCCUUCAGGUGGAAGGUGAGGCCGGCGCGAGGCCCAAGACAGCUCAGACCCACACCCUUAUCCAUACGACUGCACACUCGCUGCGGCCAACCAGGCAGCAACAAUUGCGGCGGUCCAUCAGUCCAUGCACGGCCCAUGUCCGAGCAGCAGCCAAGGAAACUCUGUACUGCGUCUACUGGCAUCGCGUUUGUAUCACUGCAACACUGCUGCACGCACCUCCCAGAGAAAACUGUGCACAACGCAGAGACCUCAUGUACUUUCUUAACUCACAAGUCCUCGGCAUUAUCCUACAUGGGCUUUCAUGCAAGCUGGUCCGAGUGUUCACUCAGCACAUUUAACCCCAAGGCCCCAGCAACACUUCCCUUGAUGGUGUUCAAAAACACCGGGUCAUUUCACAAUCAUUGCCACACAAUACUUACUUGCGACCAGGCAACAGCACAACAAAGUCCGGGCCCUGCCCGUGCACAGAAGCUCACACAAACCCAUGUGCCCUCCACCUGCUGCCCUUCUGGCCAUACCUACUGUCCUUGACAACCAUUGCUCCGAGCCACAAGGCCUGCAGCCCUUGCAGCAGUUCAAGCUUACCAUAUGCGUCAAGUAGACAGCAAACCAAUUGAAUCACGCUUGUACCCAUGUUGCCCGCGCCUGCCAAUGCCUCCUGGAGGUGUUGGCAAUGAGCAGCAAACCGCGCUGCUACCCCACCCAGGCCACUCCACCCUCCGGCCGAAUGCCUGCUGGCUCGCAUUGCACACAGAACCAUGCAUGAGCCCGUGACAGCUCCAUCCGGCGCCGUCACUUCUCUCGAAUGCUGCUGCGCAUUCCACGCCCACCCCCAUUCCACUACAAAUUGUGCGUACCACUGCUCCUCACACGUGCCCGCUUCCAAAUGCACUAUUCGUGUGUGCAUUGCGUGAAAUACCACCCCGCAGCAGCCCUGCCUAGGACCCGCGCCUUGUGUUAAGCUGCCCAUGUGCACACUUGCGUACGCAGCUUUAGCUCCCAUACGCCUGCCCCCCCCCCCCCCAGCACCUCCGCUUGCCGCCUGUACCCGCGCCGUCACAACCCUCCCGCCGCCCAGCCCCGCUGCCCGCCACCCUGCACAUUCAUCAUGCGCGGCAAAAGGUCUUGGAGUCGGAGGGCAUCGAUCCCCCUACCUCCCGCACAUUGUGUCGGGCGCUCAGCCACAUGCUAAGCGGGCGCUCUACCAUUUGAGCUACGACCCCAGAAGGUCCGCGGUGCACUGCACACGCUGGAAGGUCCUGCUGAGACUUGAACUCAGGUUAGCAGAUUCAGAGUCUGCUGUCCUAACCACUAGACCACAGGACCGGAGGAUGCACUAGCCGAGAAUCGAACUCGGGUCUGGUCCGUACAAGCUGGAUAGAGCGGUGAGCUCAAUCCUAAUUUGGCAAGGACCUAUGCUACCACUAUACCACUAGUGCGGAUGCAUCGCCAUGGGCUCGAACGGAGCGCAGACCGCACAGAAUACACCCUCACGAGGCCGCACAGGACCCAGCUACACAGGGCAAGCGCGGGGGAGCGCGGGGGAGGCGCGCGUGGGCUCGGGGCGGGUGGGGAACACGCAGGGACGCAGCAAACAGGUGGACACGCACGCGGCCAGCUUGCGGUCCUGCGGAUAGCGCUGACAGAGUCAUAGCCGCACGCUACGCUGUGCCACUUACUCAGUUGCACGCUGCUGGCUCCAGAUAUAGUCCUUUGAAGGGCUGAGGGCGUGGUCAACGUCCCCAGGGACACGGACGCGUCAAGCAUGGCAUCACGCACGCGCCGGACUCUCACGCAGGCCGCUCCUCCGCAGCUCGCACGCUGCUGGCGCCUCACUAGAGCAGGAGCACAAAGCUGCGUGCUGCGCAGAGCUGGGCACAGCCGCGUUCUUGCGAGCGGUGUCGGAAAUAUGCAAAAGCCCUAGGUUCGCGUGCGCAAAGCAGAAAUGCGCGCGGCGUAAAGUGGCCGUUGAUUGUGCAGGGCAGUAGUGGCGCCUGGUUCUGUAGCAGAAGCUCUAAAGCGGUGUUGGUGAAACAAGGUUGCGCUUGCGCGAAACCAAAAGCUGACUCGCACGCGCUGCACGCGUAGGCUCUAUGGAGAGUUAUGGAGUAUCACAUUGUAAACGUUCGCUAGUAAAUAGUCAGUAGGGUAGCGAGAUGCUUUAGGCGAGCCACGUAUUUGCUGCCCGUGUCCAGCGGUGCAGCGCUCCCCAUGCAGCCUCGUCAGGAAGCCCGAGCACCCUCGAACGGCGAGAGCCAAGCGCGUCCUAGGGCUCCAGCUGAAGUAUACGUCUGGGACUCUGUGCGACAGGUUGCCGCUACCCGGCUCUCAUGAGGCUGAGGCUGCAGCGCUGUACGGUGUCCUGUAUCGUGGGGGUACCGCCCCAAGUAGAGCAUGGGGGAUGAGCAAACCGUACAUGUAAUUCCAGCCUGAGACACCGUUUUACCAGCACUGCAUCCCCAGUGGCUUGUAAUGCAUAUGUCAAUCCAGGGAAAGCCUGUAGACUCAGACCAAGCCCCUUCAGGUGGAAGGUGAGGCCGGCGCGAGGCCCAAGACAGCUCAGACCCACACCCUUAUCCAUACGACUGCACACUCGCUGCGGCCAACCAGGCAGCAACAAUUGCGGCGGUCCAUCAGUCCAUGCACGGCCCAUGUCCGAGCAGCAGCCAAGGAAACUCUGUACUGCGUCUACUGGCAUCGCGUUUGUAUCACUGCAACACUGCUGCACGCACCUCCCAGAGAAAACUGUGCACAACGCAGAGACCUCAUGUACUUUCUUAACUCACAAGUCCUCGGCAUUAUCCUACAUGGGCUUUCAUGCAAGCUGGUCCGAGUGUUCACUCAGCACAUUUAANNN
rnacentral:lncRNA from 1 species